AUUGAACGCUGGCGGCAGGCCUAACACAUGCAAGUCGACCUAGUGGCGGACGGGUGAGUAAUGUCUGGGAAACUGCCUGAUGGAGGGGGAUAACUACUGGAAACGGUAGCUAAUACAGCAUACCAUCAGAUGUUACCAGAUGGAAUUAGCUUGUUGGUGGGGUAAGGGCUCACCAAGGCGACGAUCACUAGAUGGUAUGAGAGGAUGACCAGCCAAAAUGGAACUGAGACACGGUCCAGACUCCUACGUGUGGCAGCAGUGGGGAAUAUUGCACAAUGGGCGCAAGCCUGAUGAAGCCAUGCCGCGUGUAUGAAGAAGGCCUUCGGGUUGUAAAGUACUGUCAGCGGGGAGUCGUUACCCGCAGAAGAAGCACCGGCUAACUCCGUGCCAGCAGCCGCGGUAAUAC
rnacentral:rRNA from 1 species